UCAUAACGAUAAUAGAAAAUCUAGUGCUCAAAUUCACAAUCUAAUGAACAUACAGCCAUACAAAAGAUGUCUUUAUGAGCAAUGCCUCCACUGACAAAGUGAAUUAAGUUGCCUACUCGAAAAGCAACUUUGCAAGGAAGCAAGUUUACUACCCACUAAAAUGUUCUCUUGGUACUUGAUGGGAUUAUGGAAUGAAACUGGCAAUAUUACAAUGUGAUAAAGAUAUUCCUGAUGGCGAUGAAUGAUGACUAACUUUCAAAACUACAAGAUGAACCCCUUCCACUUCUAGAAUGUGAAGAAUGCUGCCAUAUUACCGGCCCAUAUGAUCAUCAUGAGAACUGUCUACCGUUGUCUACCCCGAUACAAGGAAAAUUACAAAUGUGUUGCAAAGCUUAAUAUUAGAUAACUAGAAGCAGUUAGAAGAAUAAAGAAUGGUUCCGGAGUUUUACAAUGGCCGACUAACUUUUGAUGACCGAUGAAGAAGACUAUGCCAGCAAAAGACAGACAACAGAUGUACUUCGAAUAGCAAUAUGACCAAAGCACUACCUUACAUUAUUAAGACUAGAAUAUUGAAUAUAUAAUAAAAGUUUAAGUUGUAAAAUAAUAAUGUGGAUUUCAUAUAUAAUUAUGUUUAUUUUUAAUUAAAGGUAUGCAAGUGUUUGC